ACCAUUAUUUAAAGCGUCUUGUAAUGUCCUCGCAUAUGAUGCCGACCCCUCCCAACCAGCUCUUACAUAAACAAAACAAAGAUUAAAAUCAUAUGCAACCAUAACAUUGUGAUAAUGUUUGUUUUUUAUUACGAUAUAGUUCUUGCAAGCUUGUGGCAAUUGAUAUAGGAAUAUGAGUGUAAGGACUGAGAUUUUGGUAGUGUAGCUAAACUUUCUGUUGAUGAUGUUUUUGUGUGUAUUUUAAUUUCAAAAGCACUCGUCAAGUUUUGGGAAAAAACGAGUUAGAAUGAAGAUUUUACGCGAUCUUUACUUUUCACUUAAAGUGAAUACUAAUCCGGAUUUUCGGAAAGGCCAAAGUGUAGAGUUGGCUUUUGGCGCGUAUCGGACUCCAUUCAUAGCGAUCCAAUAGCUCGUUUUCAAUGGUCUGAUUAUUCUAGAACCAAUGGCGCUGACGGAUUUUAGGUUUGAUGCAUGGAUUUCGAGAAAACUGGGGAUACAUAUAUUUUAUGUAUUUGUGUGUAGUUUUGACAUUGGGAGAGAGGUUGUGUUUCGUCGCGAAUCCACGACCAAACCAGGCGAAACAAAAUUGCGGAUUUGUUGUCUCUGUCGUGCUAAUAGCAUUGCUGUGAUUCGUUCGCAAAUCUGACGGACGGAUCUCCUCAUAUCGCGCGUUGAUCGAGG
rnacentral:lncRNA from 1 species